AACGAACGCUGGCGGCAGGCUUAACACAUGCAAGUCGAGCGAGGUUUUCGGACCUAGCGGCGGACGGGUGGGUAGCGCGUGGGGUCGUGCCCUGUGCUCUGGCAUAGCCUCUGGAACCGGAGAGUAAUACCGAAUGUGUCAGGUAAUGCGGCAUGAUGUAUCGGCAAAGGAUCGGCCCGAGUUGGAUUAGGUAGUUGGUGGGGUAAUGGCCUACCAAGCCGACGAUCCAUAGCUGGUUUGAGAGGAUGAUCAGCCACACUGGGACUGAGACACGGCCCAGACUCCUACGGGAGGCAGCAGUGGGGAAUCUUAGACAAUGGGGGCAACCCUGGUCUAGCCAUGCCGCGUGAGUGAUGAAGGCCUUAGGGUUGUAAAGCUCUUUCAGCUGGGAAGAUAAUGACGGUACCAGCAGAAGAAGCCCCGGCUAACUCCGUGCCAGCCGCCGCAGUAA
rnacentral:rRNA from 1 species